rnacentral:rRNA from 1 species
GAUGAACGCUGGCGGCGUGCCUAAUACAUGCAAGUCGAGCGAACAGACGAGGAGCUUGCUCCUCUGACGUUAGCGGCGGACGGGUGAGUAACACGUGGAUAACCUACCUAUAAGACUGGGAUAACUUCGGGAAACCGGAGCUAAUACCGGAUAAUAUAUUGAACCGCAUGGUUCAAUAGUGAAAGACGGUUUUGCUGUCACUUAUAGAUGGAUCCGCGCCGCAUUAGCUAGUUGGUAAGGUAACGGCUUACCAAGGCAACGAUGCGUAGCCGACCUGAGAGGGUGAUCGGCCACACUGGAGCUGAGACACGGUCCAGACUCCUACGGGAGGCAGUAGUAGGGAAUCUUCCGCAAUGGGCGAAAGCCUGACGGAGCAACGCCGCGUGAGUGAUGAAGGUCUUCGGAUCGUAAAACUCUGUUAUUAGGGAAGAACAAAUGUGUAAGUAACUAUGCACGUCUUGACGGUACCUAAUCAGAAAGCCACGGCUAACUACGUG